rfam:Xenopus laevis strain J chromosome 5L, whole genome shotgun sequence.
AUAAAGGCUCUUUUAAGAGCCCCCACAUCUUAUUUUAGGAAGAUCU